CAUCAGUUUCCUGGCUUCAUCAACAGCAAGACUCGCAGCAUAUAGCACCAUCUUUUUCACCUAUAAAAUUAUAUAAUUCUGAGUAAGAGAAACAUCUCCAGUUAAAACAUAAAUUAUCCUACGAUUCAUUUCCUGAGUUUGUAGAGGGUGACAAACAAAUCUAGAAAGAGUUCUUUUUAGUAAUGAGAACUAACUAUCACCUGAAAUGUUCCUCUGUUCCUAUGCUAAGUUGAUUUUUUUCACCUGAAAUGUUCCUCUGUUCUUCCUAAUCUGAAUCGUGGCACAAUGGUAUUAAAACUAAAUAACAUUAAUACUCAGAAGAAUAGAGAAACAAUUUGAGUGCCAAAUCAACUGAAUAAAUUUCAAAUCACAAAAGGAAAAGAAAUCAUCCGAGGUCAAGCCCUUACAGAAUCGAAGUGUGGAACAAGGAGAUCGAACGAUGAGAUGAAGGAGAUCGAAGUGAGUGCUUGAGGAGGAUCGAACUGAGGGCUUCCGAUUCUAGGGCUUGAGGGGGAUCGAACUGAGAUUUCAAAGGCUUCAAUUUUCUGAAGCUCAAGUUGGAGAAGGAACUCUGGGCUUCGAAGAUUCGGUAAGGGCUUCGAUUUUUUGUUUUGCAGCAAUCGGUUUUCUGAAGAUUUCAAAGCUUGAUUUUCUGUUUUGGAGGAACUCUCAGCCGAAACCCACAAGUAACGAGGAGAGAGAAAUGAAAUGAAAUGAAA
rnacentral:lncRNA from 1 species